rnacentral:lncRNA from 1 species
AAAAAACGGGUGGGCUAUAGCCUUGGGGGGUGGGGCUGGCCAACUUCGUCCGCCGGACUCGGAAUGCCGCGAGACUUUGCGAGGGGCCUCCGUGUGCCAAAAAUAGGCCGCGGGCAAAGCCGCGCCCAAAAAUAACCGCCCGAAGGCCGGGGCGCCAAGUUCGUCCAGCGGAAAAAGGCCACAAAAACGGGUGGGCUAUAGCCUUGGGGGGUGGGGCUGGCCAACUUCGUCCGCCGGACUCGAAAUGCCGUGAGACUUUGCGAGGGGCGUACCGUGUGCCAAAAAUAGGCCGCGGCCAAAGCCGCCCCCAAAAUUAACCCCCCGAAGGCCAGGGCGCCAGGUUCGUCCAGCAGAAAAAGGCCACAAAAACGGGUGGGCUAUAGCCUAGGGGGGUGAUGCUGGCCAACUUCGUCCGCCGGACUCGGAAUGCCGCGAGACUUUGCGAGGGGCCUCCGUGUGCCAAAAAUAGGCCGUGGGCAAAGCCGCGUCCGAAAUUAACCGCCCAAAGGCCGGGGCGCCAAGUUCGUCCAGCGGAAAAAGGCCACAAAAACGGGUGGGCUAUAGCCUUGUGGGGUGAUGCUGGCCAACUUCGUCCGCCGGACUCGGAAUGCCGCGAGGCUUUGCGAGGGGCCUCCGUGUGCCAAAAAUAGGCCGCGGGCAAGGCCGCGCCCAAAAUUAACCGCCCGAAGGCCGGGGCGCCAAGUUCGUCCAGCGGAAAAAGGCCACAAAAACGGGUGGGCUAUAGCCGUGGGGGGUGUGGCUGGCCCACUUCGUCCGCCGGAAUCGGAAUGCCGCGAGACUUUGCGAGGGGCCUCCGUGUGCCAAAAAUAGGCCGCGGACAAAGCCGCGUCCAAAAAUAACCGCCCGACAGCCGGGGUGCCAAGUUCGUCCAGCGGAAAAAGGCCGCAAAAACGGGUGGGCUAUAGCCUUGGGGGGUGAUGCUGGCCAACUUCGUCCGCCGGACUCGGAAUGCCGCGAGACUUUGCGAGGGGCCUCCGUGUGCCAAAAAUAGGCCGCGGGCAAAGCCGCGUCCAAAAAUAACCGCCCGACAGCCGGGGUGCCAAGUUCGUCCAGCGGAAAAA